AUCCACAUGCUCGCUCUCUUUCAAAGGAGGAAGGUAAGUCCGGGAAUCCGCAGGUGGCUCGGUGGGCCAGGCUGGGACGGGGCUAGAAGCCAGAUGCCCAGGGCUGUCUCACCUGACACUGUAACUAUCUCUGCAUCCUGGUCACUCCUGUGCUGGGAGACAGUGGGAGGGGACUCCUGAUGUCAUCACUUCUGGAUGGGGUGCUUCCACAACCCCCAUAGUGAGGGUCUCAGCUUUCAUGCCCAUGAGGCCAGGGAGCUCACCCCUUCUGAGAGAGCCUGAUCGGCUGCCAGGCAGCUGCAUCUGGGAGUUCCACCAGCCAGUGAGCAGCAGCUGCUUCGGGAUGUUUCUCCUGGUUAUCAGCCGCCCUGCCUCCUGGGGGGUAGCUCAGCUCAGGCCCUGCCCCUGCGGAAUCCGGGCAUCGUGGCAGGGGGCUCCCUGGCAGAGCGAGCUGGGGCCUCCCUUGGGCUCCAACCUUUCGGUGGAGCACUUGUCGGGUCUGUCCCCCGGCCUGGGCUUCCUGGGGGACAGACGCUGCCCAUGAUCACGAGGGCUGUCAGGCCUGGGGGAGCCUGGGUUUUAUCCAGAGUGAGGUGCCCGGGCCCUGGAGGGUCUGGGGGCGAGAACAGGGCAUUUGUUAUACUUCAGGGGAAGCCCCCUGGCUGGAGCAGGCAGAGGGCGGUGGGGGCUCCGCUGUGAAGCCAGGAAUGAACCCUGCAGAGCCCGGCGUGGUCAGACCAGGCAGGAUGACGCGGAGGUGUUUUGGAAGCGAGACCAACAGACUUCUUGGGAACGGCUGGGGCCACCCUGAGCUGGUCGGGUCCUCCUCCGGUGACCACCUCCCCACCACAGCGGUGCCGAGACGGGGCUGCUCCGUGGCACAAGGCCUCCCGCCCUCCCACCCGAGGUAGCUCAGCCAGCUUCUGCCUGGUUGUUGCCUGGUGCAGAGGCCAGGAUGGUCCCCAAGGCCCCAGUGACCUCGGGCGGAGAAGGCAGCUCACCCACUUCCUCCAAGGACGGUGGGAGGGGCUCCUGGACCGGGGCCGCCCUGGGGGGCUGGACAGGUCUUUCCGCCUCUCAGGUCCCGGGCUGGUGAGUGAAGAUGUGGCUGUCCUGGAAGCUGUGGACCCAGGCACGGAGCGGCCACCAGCCCUUGUCUUGAUGGAGGCGACGGGAGCAUCCAGCCUGGAGGAGGUGACGCAGGGGAGGCUGGGCUCCUGAGAGUCCAGAUCCACUCAGGAGCAGGCGUGCUCUCCUCAGCUCCUAGAUCAAGUCGUGUCACGCCUCGCUCACCGCCUCCGACAACUUCCCUGGCCCUUAGGUGAGAAAGCAGAUUCUGUCUGUGGUCUCACAGCUCAUCUGUGGCAGAGCUGGGAUCUGAAUCCAGGUUCCAAGGAUCCCAGUUUUCCGUGGUGUCAUGCCCUCUUUAUUUUGGCCACUAGGGAGCUCAGAAUGGAGCUUUAGCCUUGUUCUUCGGUGCCACAUUAGCCUAGGGCCUGGGGCAUUUUUGUCAGCCCCUCCUUUGGGCUUUAUCCUCUCUGCUGGGCCUCCCGUGGAGCAGGCCGGACAUAAGUUAUCAACUAUAAAUAAAACCAAGACUUCCGUUCUGGCUCUCA